GAUGAACGUUGGCGGCGUGCUUAACACAUGCAAGUCGAACGAUGAAGCCCAGCUUGCUGGGUGGAUUAGUGGCGAACGGGUGAGUAACACGUGAGUAACCUGCCCUUAACUCUGGGAUAAGCCUGGGAAACUGGGUCUAAUACCGGAUAGGAGCGUCCACCGCAUGGUGGGUGUUGGAAAGAUUUAUCGGUUUUGGAUGGACUCGCGGCCUAUCAGCUUGUUGGUGAGGUAAUGGCUCACCAAGGCGACGACGGGUAGCCGGCCUGAGAGGGUGACCGGCCACACUGGGACUGAGACACGGCCCAGACUCCUACGGGAGGCAGCAGUGGGGAAUAUUGCACAAUGGGCGCAAGCCUGAUGCAGCGACGCCGCGUGAGGGAUGACGGCCUUCGGGUUGUAAACCUCUUUCAGUAGGGAAGAAGCGAAAGUGACGGUACCUGCAGAAGAAGCACCGGCUAACUACGUG
rnacentral:rRNA from 1 species